AAUGGAGGAGCACCAUGAUUUUUUAAUCCAAAAUUCCCGGAUUUGAAUGAAAUGCUCUGGAAAGGCUCUGGAAAUCAUUGGGUGUUCACAAUCAUCAAUGAAGAUGUUCACCAGGAAUUGCUGAUCACUGGCCUCCAGCUGGAUGUUGCACUCCUGAUCACCACCCCGGCCAGCAGAUUUCAACCAGCCUGCUGUCUGCUCAUCCAGCCCAUACUUCAUGGGCUUCUCUGUGAGGGAGCCCUGUCUGUGUGCACUAGUACACACAUUCAUUUGGAUUUUAAACAAUCAAACAGAAGUGAUUGUUUUAACAGCACAAUUAUUUUUCAAAGGGAAAUAGAAGGGUAUGGCUUUGAUGGAACGAGUGCCUUCAAGCUCCAUUGGCAGGCACUGUUUGAGAACUAUUUGGGUGAUUUUGGAUAAGAAAUGAAAGAUGCAGCAGCAGGAAGCCAUUCAGCAAUCCCUGACAAGGGAGGUCCACUGUCAAUUGCUGGGAGGGCCCCCACCUGUUUCUUUUAAUGGUGCUCCCAAAUCCCACCCCUUGGGCCUCCCAUCCCAUCCUUUUUGGUCCCCUCAGGCAUCUCCUCCCCAGGAU